UAAGACAGAGGGUGCAAACGUUGUUCGGAUUUACUGGGCGUAAAGCGUGUGUAGGCGGCUUCGCAAGUUGGAUGUGAAAUCCCACGGCUCAACCGUGGACGUGCAUCCAAAACUGCGUCGCUAGAGUCUCGGAGAGGAAGGUGGAAUGCUUGGUGUAGAGGUGAAAUUCGUAGAUAUCAAGCAGAACACCUGCGGCGAAGGCGGCCUUCUGGACGAUGACUGACGCUGAGACACGAAAGCGUGGGGAGCAAACAGG
rnacentral:rRNA from 1 species